AAAAAAGGUAAGCUACUAAGAGCGAAUGGUGGAUGCCUUGACUGGUAAAGGCGAUGAAGGACGUACUAGACUGCGAUAAGCUACGGGGAGCUGUCAAGAAGCUUUGAUCCGUAGAUUUCCGAAUGGGGCAACCCAGUAUAUAGAGAUAUAUACUACCAUAAUGGAGCGAACGAGGGGAAUUGAAACAUCUUAGUACCCUCAGGAAAAGAAAUCAAUAGAGAUUACGUCAGUAGCGGCGAGCGAAAGCGUAAGAGGGCAAACCCAGUGCUUGCACUGGGGGUUGUAGGACUGCAAUGUGCAAUAAGUAAGGUUAGUAGAACACUCUGGAAAGUGUAGCCAUAGAGGGUGAUAGUCCCGUAUACGAAAACCAAACUUUAGCUAGCAGUAUCCUGAGUAGGGCGAAACACGUGGAAUUUUGUCUGAAGCUGGGUCGACCACGAUCCAACCCUAAAUACUAAUACCAGAUCGAUAGUGCACAAGUACCGUGAGGGAAAGGUGAAAAGAACUGAGGUGAUCAGAGUGAAAUAGAACCUGAAACCAUUUGCUUACAAUCAUUCAGAGCACUAUGUAGCAAUACAGUGUGAUGGACUGCCUUUUGCAUAAUGAGCCUGCGAGUUGUGGUGUCUGGCAAGGUUAAGCACACGCGAAGCCGUAGCGAAAGCGAGUCUGAAUAGGGCGAUUAAGUCAGAUGCUGCAGACCCGAAACGAAGUGAUCUAUCCAUGAGCAAGUUGAAGCUAGUGUAAGAACUAGUGGAGGACUGAACCCGCUAGCGUUGAAAAGCUAUGGGAUGACUUGUGGAUAGGGGUGAAAGGCCAAUCAAACUUCGUGAUAGCUGGUUCUCUCCGAAAUAUAUUUAGGUAUAGCGUUGUGUCGUAGUAUAAGGGGGUAGAGCACUGAAUGGGCUAGGGCAUACACCAAUGUACCAAACCCUAUCAAACUCCGAAUACCUUAUAUGUAAUCACAGCAGUCAGGCGGCGAGUGAUAAAAUCCGUCGUCAAGAGGGAAACAACCCAGACUAUCAGCUAAGGUCCCCAAGUCUUACUUAAGUGGAAAACGAUGUGAAGUUACUUAAACAACCAGGAGGUUGGCUUAGAAGCAGCCAUCCUUUAAAGAAAGCGUAAUAGCUCACUGGUCUAGUGAUUUUGCGCGGAAAAUAUAACGGGGCUAAAGUAAGCACCGAAGCUAUAGACUUAGUUUACUAAGUGGUAGGAGAGCGUUCUAUUUGCGUCGAAGGUAUACCGGUAAGGAGUGCUGGAGCGAAUAGAAGUGAGCAUGCAGGCAUGAGUAGCGAUAAUUAAUGUGAGAAUCAUUAACGCCGUAAACCCAAGGUUUCCUACGCGAUGCUCGUCAUCGUAGGGUUAGUCGGGUCCUAAGCCGAGUCCGAAAGGGGUAGGUGAUGGCAAAUUGGUUAAUAUUCCAAUACCAACAUUAGUGUGCGAUGGAAGGACGCUUAGGGCUAAGCAAGCUAGCGGAUGGAAGUGCUAGUCUAAGGAUGUAGGAGCUUAUAUAGGCAAAUCCGUAUAAGAAUACUCCGAGAUCUUAAAGGCUUUUUGAAGUCUUCGGAUGGAUAGAAGAAUUGCUGAUGCCGUCGAGCCAAGAAAAGUUUCUAAGUUUAGCUAAUGUUGCCCGUACCGUAAACCGACACAGGUGGGUGGGAUGAGUAUUCUAAGGCGCGUGGAAGAACUCUCUUUAAGGAACUCUGCAAAAUAGCACCGUAUCUUCGGUAUAAGGUGUGGUUCACUUUGUAUUAGGAUUUACUCCGAAAGCAAAGAAACUUACAACAAAGAGUCCCUCCCGACUGUUUACCAAAAACACAGCACUCUGCUAACUCGUAAGAGGAUGUAUAGGGUGUGACGCCUGCCCGGUGCUCGAAGGUUAAUUGAUGGGGUUAGCAUUAGCGAAGCUCUUGAUCGAAGCCCGAGUAAACGGCGGCCGUAACUAUAACGGUCCUAAGGUAGCGAAAUUCCUUGUCGGUUAAAUACCGACCUGCAUGAAUGGCGUAACGAGAUGGGAGCUGUCUCAAAGAGGGAUCCAGUGAAAUUGUAGUGGAGGUGAAAAUUCCUCCUACCCGCGGCAAGACGGAAAGACCCCGUGGACCUUUACUACAGCUUGACACUGCUAUUUGGAUAAGAAUGUGCAGGAUAGGUGGGAGGCUUUGAGUAAUAGACGCUAGUUUAUUAUGAGCCAUUGUUGAGAUACCACUCUUUCUUAUUUGGGUAGCUAACUAGCUUGAGUUAUCCUCAAGUAGGACAAUGUCUGGUGGGUAGUUUGACUGGGGCGGUCGCCUCCCAAAUAAUAACGGAGGCUUACAAAGGUUGGCUCAGAACGGUUGGAAAUCGUUCGUAGAGUAUAAAGGUAUAAGCCAGCUUAACUGCAAGACAUACAAGUCAAGCAGAGACGAAAGUCGGUCUUAGUGAUCCGGUGGUUCUGUGUGGAAGGGCCAUCGCUCAAAGGAUAAAAGGUACCCCGGGGAUAACAGGCUGAUCUCCCCCAAGAGCUCACAUCGACGGGGAGGUUUGGCACCUCGAUGUCGGCUCAUCGCAUCCUGGGGCUGGAGCAGGUCCCAAGGGUAUGGCUGUUCGCCAUUUAAAGCGGUACGCGAGCUGGGUUCAGAACGUCGUGAGACAGUUCGGUCCCUAUCUGCCGUGGGCGUAAGAAGAUUGAAGAGAUUUGACCCUAGUACGAGAGGACCGGGUUGAACAAACCACUGGUGUAGCUGUUGUUCUGCCAAGAGCAUCGCAGCGUAGCUAAGUUUGGAACGGAUAAACGCUGAAAGCAUCUAAGCGUGAAGCCAACUCUAAGAUGAAUCUUCUCUAAGCUCUCUAGAAGACUACUAGUUUGAUAGGCUGGGUGUGUAAUGGAUGAAAGUCCUUUAGCUGACCAGUACUAAUAGAGCGUUUGGCUUAUCUUUUUUAUAAGCAU
rnacentral:rRNA from 1 species